AUUUGAGAUUUGAGCUCAACUCCACCCUACCUCCGCCUCUCCCUGGCCGAACGACCUUGGGGACCCACGGGGCCUUUCUGAGCUUCGGAUCAGCCACCUGCAAAAACUGAGCUGAUGAAGCUUCCCGCACGGAGCUAGAGUAUUUUACAGGCUUCACAGCAGCUGGCUGGGCCACAAGGAAGUUCCUGGUAGAGAGGGAUCGGGCCCCCACACCCGGCCGGGGACCACAAGUUCCCAGACCAAAGAAACUGGCUGGGGCUCCGUUAGAAGGAAGCCCCCCAACCUGCUUCCCAGGCUCUGGAUUCCCCGCGUCCCUCCCACACACAGGCGACACACUUCCUGGACCUCUGCCUUGCACUCUCAACACCCAGCUGUCACCUUGCCCUGGCCCCUGGAAGUCGCUCCUCUGCUUCGAAGCUGGACCACCAUGUCCCCUCACACUUAGGAGCGAAGGGUACCCGAGGCCCGGGCUCCAUCAGGGGCUCUCUCGGUCCCCAAGUGGUCCUUGUGCUCUCAGGCCAGCCUGGCCCGACCUGAGGGAACUGGAUGUGCUGGGGUGGGGGUGGCAGCACUGCAGGGGGCAGGGGAUGCCCCACUGGGUUCAGCCCUGGCUCUGAGCAGCCUCCAGCUGGCCCAAGGCCCCAGGCUGCCUGGCAUUUUCCACCGGCCCAUGCCAGCACCAAGGCAGCCUGGCAGUGGCCGUGGGUACCCGCACUCCCUUUGGCAGUAGCCUGUGCCUCCUGCACGGCCCCUCCUGGUCUGUGCCUACCUCAUCCCGGGCCAAGCUUCCCUGGCACACUAUGGGGAGAGCCUUGUGUCUGGGUCUGUGUAGGGGGCCCUUAGCUAUAUGGGCUCUGAAGCAGACACCCUGGGCCUAGACUGGCAUAGGACAGAGAGCGGUGCAGUGUCUGGGGUGACCUGGCCUGCUGCCCGCCCAGCAGUGUGUGGCGUAGCAGAAUAGAGGACUGGACCCAAGGAGCCCUGCAGACUGCCCGGCAGCCAGUAAAAGGUCCAGCCCCCAGGACUGUGGGUCACGGCUCUGUGCCUCUGUACCGGGCAGGGAGAGUGGGGGCGUGUGGGGUGCUGCGCCGGGGUACUGGGCUGCGGGCACCCAGUGGGAAC